rnacentral:rRNA from 1 species
GUGAGGAAUAUUGCGCAAUGGGGGAAACCCUGACGCAGCGACGCCGCGUGAGUGAGGAAGGCCUUCGGGUCGUAAAGCUCUGUCAAAGGGAAAGAAGUGCAUGAUGGCUAAUACCUGUCAUGUUUGACGGUACCCUUAAAGGAAGCACCGGCUAACUCCGUGCCAGCAGCCGCGGUAAUACGGAGGGUGCAAGCGUUGUUCGGAAUCACUGGGCGUAAAGGGCGCGUAGGCGGUUUGAUAAGUCAGAUGUGAAAGCCCACGGCUUAACUGUGGAAGUGCAUUUGAAACUGUCAGACUUGAGUAUCAGAGGGGAAAGUGGAAUUCCCGGUGUAGAGGUGAAAUUCGUAGAUAUCGGGAGGAAUACCGGUGGCGAAGGCGACUUUCUGGCUGAAUACUGACGCUGAGGCGCGAAAGCGUGGGGAGCAAACAGGAUUAGAUACCCCUGUAGUCC